rnacentral:lncRNA from 1 species
UCAUUCAACCAUCUAGCUUUAACUGAGAUAUUCACAAACAAAAUACAAUAGUACCCACAAAAAAUGAAGUAGCAAAAGAAAGAAUUGUCCCCCCUAAAAAAUUCAAGCUUAUUUGUGGGGAAUUUUAAACCAAUAAACACAACUAAAAUGUUAUAAAACCAAACUAGUUAAUCAUGUAAUGACCAAAAUGGACCAAAGAAACCCACCAAUUGAACAAAACUUGUCAGUUUUCGAUCGAUGAAACUUGCCCUCCUUCUUCGAUACAGCAUCAAAAUCUACCCCAAAUCAUUUUUCC